CAAAUAGGCAAACAAAUGAGCAAACAAAACAAUUGUCUAUGGAUCAGUCUAAAACUCCUACCAAGUUCAGUAUCUUCUGUGUAAGCUUGGAGGGAUGCCUUAAGGACUUGGUAAAAGUCUCCUCUCUCUGUGCUGAGGCUGGCUUCAGAUUUCUCUCCUGUAUCUUGAGAAAUUAGAACUGGAAAAAAAGAUUCAAGGUUUUCAAAUGCCAUAAUCAGCCAAGAAGUGAUACACUUGUGAAGACUGAAAGACUGCCUAACUUGAGAAGAAUAACACCCAUGAACGCUGUCUGAAACAAACUUAAUAGAAGACAUAUACCUAUUCUAUGAAA